UACGUAGGGUGCGAGCGUUAAUCGGAAUUACUGGGCGUAAAGCGUGCGCAGGCGGUUUUGUAAGCCAGGUGUGAAAUCCCCGGGCUCAACCUGGGAAUGGCAUUUGGGACUGCAAGGCUGGAGUGCGGCAGAGGAGACUGGAAUUCCUGGUGUAGCAGUGAAAUGCGUAGAUAUCAGGAGGAACACCGGCGGUGUAGACGGCUCUCUGGACCGUAACUGACGCUGAGAUACGAAAGCGUGGGUAGCAAACAGG
rnacentral:rRNA from 1 species